UUUACUCUACUAAGCAGUGAUUACUCAUAAAUAAAACUCACUUCAUAAAAUAAUUCUACCAACAGUAUUACUUAUGGAAAAUACUCAUCAUCAAUUAAUAUUCCAAGUCACACCAAAUCAUUUAUUUAUGAAACCUUGUAUGUAUCAUUUAUGUAAAUGUACUACUCAACAUAUAUAUAUCUCAUGUAGAAAAGUGAUUAUCUCCAUAGUUAUAAUAAAUUCUACUAACCAUAUCAUGUAAAGUUCAUCAAAUACAUAUACUAAAAUCAAUACUCUAAUUAAAUAGGUUCUAAUGUACGUAAAUCCGAAUCAUCUAGUUCUCUUAUUAAGUAACACUAACAACUCAUUCUCAACAUAUAUUUUCCACAGGCACACAUAUACUCACAUUCCUGUAUUUUCAUAUAUGUAUUUCCAUAUCCAACACAUAUUAAAUACACUAGCAUACUUUUACCAUUUAAUUUCAACCUAUUAAUCAUAUAUCACUUACAUAAUUAAUUUAUAUAAACGUUAUUUAUUCCAUAGAAGAAAAUUUAAAUUUUAAGCUAAGGACACAGUUUCCAUUAGAAAGAGUACAUUGGUUGAUCAGGCCACUGCACUUCCUUCUAAUUUCUCCUGCGUGUCAAAGCUUUGAUUAACUGUUAAUAUAAUUAUUUU
rnacentral:lncRNA from 1 species